GUACAUAUAUGUCUACAGCUUCUCAGAUUUGACCGAAGACAGUUGUUUGGUGUUGUGAAUGGAUGUUGUUCGGCCGAAGGCCUUCCAGUCACACAGAAGAUCCUGGUUCGGUCACACGAAGGGUCACUUCCAUUGGUAUUAGUCACAGGAACAAUUAGGAGCACCAGUUGUAGUUUCUCAGAGCCCACAAAGAAACCAGGACUAGUAGAAAGAGGCAUUGGUCAGUUGAAGAGAAGAUGGCGAGUUUUACAUGGUGAAAAUACUCUACAGCCUUUUAAAGCAUGCAAUAAAAUGUGUGAAGCUAAUACAGAAAUGCAGAAUAGCUACAGACCAACUUCCCAUGUUAGGAGAUGCAGAUCUUUGUUCAAAUGGUGUAUGAUGGAAACACAGUGAAUGACUAUCAAAGAAAACAUUUAUGUGAAGUAACAGUAAAGCAGAAUGGCUACAGACCAUAAGCUUCAGAGAUCUUUGUUCAGCUUUGUGUAAGGAGUUUUGGAUUUCAU
rnacentral:lncRNA from 1 species